GAUGAACGCUGGCGGCGUGCCUAAUACAUGCAAGUCGAGCGAACAGACGAGGAGCUUGCUCCUCUGACGUUAGCGGCGGACGGGUGAGUAACACGUGGAUAACCUACCUAUAAGACUGGGAUAACUUCGGGAAACCGGAGCUAAUACCGGAUAAUAUAUUGAACCGCAUGGUUCAAUAGUGAAAGACGGUUUUGCUGUCACUUAUAGAUGGAUCCGCGCCGCAUUAGCUAGUUGGUAAGGUAACGGCUUACCAAGGCGACGAUGCGUAGCCGACCUGAGAGGGUGAUCGGCCACACUGGACCUGAGACACGGUCCAGACUCCUACGGGAGGCAGCAGUAGGGAAUCUUCCGCAAUGGGCGAAAGCCUGACGGAGCAACGCCGCGUGAGUGAUGAAGGUCUUCGGAUCGUAAAACUCUGUUAUUAGGGAAGAACAAUGUGUAAGUAACUAUGCACGUCUUGACGGUACCUAAUCAGAAAGCCACGGCUAACUACGUG
rnacentral:rRNA from 1 species